AUUGAACGCUGGCGGCAUGCUUUACACAUGCAAGUCGAACGGCAGCGCGGGCUUCGGCCUGGCGGCGGGUGGCGAACGGGUGAGUAAUACAUCGGAACGUGCCCAGUAGUGGGGGAUAGCUCGGCGAAAGCCGGAUUAAUACCGCAUACGACCUGGGGGUGAAAGCGGGGGAUCUUCGGACCUCGCGCUAUUGGAGCGGCCGAUGGCAGAUUAGCUAGUUGGUGGGGUAAAGGCCUACCAAGGCGACGAUCUGUAGCUGGUCUGAGAGGACGACCAGCCACACUGGGACUGAGACACGGCCCAGACUCCUACGGGAGGCAGCAGUGGGGAAUUUUGGACAAUGGGCGAAAGCCUGAUCCAGCAAUGCCGCGUGUGUGAUGAAGGCCUUCGGGUUGUAAAGCACUUUUGGCGGGAACGAAAAGGACUGUGCCAAUACCACGGUUCGAUGACGGUACCCGCAGAAUAAGCACCGGCUAACUACGUG
rnacentral:rRNA from 1 species